CAGAAUAAAGGUGUUGCGUACGAUAAUGUCGGCGCGGCGUCUGGCACCGCUGCGGCUCCCUCGGGUUUUCUACUUUUCUUCCUUCAGUCUUCAAUACGAGGUGUAAGAGGGAGGGUGUGUGUAUCUCGAAGCUCCGUGGCGUGGCCCAGCAGGAACAUGACCAGCAGCAGCGGCGUCACCACCAUCGCCGUCACCAUCACGCCGCCGCAGAAGAUGGCGCGCGGAUUGGUAAAGAAGGAGUCACCUACACCCCCGAUCACGCCGAUGAUGAUGAUGGUACGUGACCAGCAGCAGCGGCGUCACCACCAUCGCCAUCACCAUCACGCCGCCGUAGAAGAUGGCGCGUUGCUCGCCUACAUAGAUGAAGGUAAAGUCCUUUACGCCCCCGAUCACGCUGAUGAUGAUGAUGGUGAAGGCCUGGAGGUGAAGCACGAACGAAAUCACACGCGACGACAGAGUGAAUGAAAGACAAAAGCGAAGAAAGGAACGAAAGGAGGAGAAGGAAAUGAAAAGGAGAAGAAGGAAAGGAAGAGGGAUGGGAGGAAGAAAAGGAAGUAUAGAAGAAAACCGUGAAAAAAAAGGAGGAGAAAGAAGAGAAAGGAAAGAGAAGGAAGGGAAUGAAGAAGGAAAUGUAAUGAAGAGACGGAAAAAGAAAAGAGAAGAUGAAAGGAAAAGAAAAGACAGACUAACAGGACAGCAAAAGGAAAAGAAAAAAAGGAAGAAGAGAAAAAAGACAAAGGAAAGGAGCAAAAGGAAAAGAAAAGAUGAAAGAAGAGAAAAAAGACAAAAUAACAAGACAGCAAAAGGAAAAGAAAAGAUGAAAGAAGAAGAGAAAAAAAGACAAAGAAGGAAAGGAAGUGAAGUAUAGAUAAGGACGGGAAGAAGGAGAAGAUGGGAGGUCGAAAGCAUUAAAGGAACCCCAACAAACACCAACCCUAAGAAGUGUUUCCCUGCAAUACAAGGCACCAACAAAUCACCCUCGGCAACACAGCAACAAGGACACCAACACACGGAAGAACAACACCCACCACGCCUGCCCACCACAGCAACACACCGGGUCACGUAAUUCAAACUUAUCCGUCAACCAAACACCCAACCGCAAGGAGAGAAUACGAGAAACAAGAAGAAUAGAAGAGAGAAAUGAGGAGAAGAAGAGGAAAGAAAUGAGAAGAAGAAGAAGAAAGAAAUGAGAAGAAGAAGAAGAAAGAAAUGAGAAGAAGAAGAAAGAAAUGAGAAGAAGAAGAAGAAGAAGAAGAAGAGGAAAGAAAUGAAAAGAAGAAGAAAGAAAUGAGAAGAGAAGAAGAAAGAAAUGAGAAGAAGAAAGAAAAGACAAGAGAAGAUGAGAAAGGAGAGAAGAAUAUAAGUCUCUCUCUCUCUCUCUCUCUCUCUCUCUCUCUCUCUCUCUCUCAGUAUGUCCCCCACAGUAUGUCUAUGGACCCACAGUUACCCACCACACACCCCCACCACUAAUAUAUGCCACCCACCCCUCCCCCCCAUCACUAAUAUAAGCCCCCUACCCCUCACUCCCCCCUCCAUUCACUACCUCUCAUUCUCAAGCACACCCACAAUAUCCUCCCUGCAACACUACUUUCUCCCUUGUGUUUCCCAUGCCUCCAGACGUGAGCUCUACUUGUCAUGUUCCUACUUCUAUUGCUACUACAACUACUAACCAAUGGAGAGAUGGGUGUUAAGUGUACUUCUACUAUUACUAAAAACCUCUAUGGAGAGAUGGGUGCUAACUGUGCAUAAGGAGAAUAAAAACUAACUUCUAUAAUAUCCUUUUCCUUUCUUCCUAUAAACCUAUGGAAAGAUGGGUGUUAACUCUCUUCUACUACUACAACUAUAAACCUCUAUGGAAAGAUGGGUGCUAACUGUGCAUAAGAAGAGUAAAAACUACCUUCUAUCCUAUCCGUUUCCUUCCCCACCUCACUGCUUGCGAAUAUUAAGCAUUACUCUAAAAAACAUGCAAUGAAGAAACAGGACGAGAGAUAUCAGAGGAGUUACAGAGGCCAGAGUGGAGGAGAGAUGGAUGGGCAGUCUUCUCUCACCUCACCCCACACCUUCACCUUUUAUUUCUAACAGUCCUCAGGUAGUCCGUGUCUGUCGGGUGUUGUGGGCGGCAUCCUCGGAGGUGACACUCUCGAUCGUAUUACUAAACAUUUCGUCUCCAAAGUUCGCCUAUUUGACCAGGCUUUCCUAGGAGUUUUGGGCAUUUCCAGAAGUAGUUUUAUGACCCUGGUGGUAGUCUGACCCUUCUUCUGUACCAUGAACCUAAAGAAACACUCAUUAGAAGCCGAUUGAUCCCCUCUUUGACCUUUAGAAAUAGAUGAUGUGAGAAACGAAAGCAUCUUAUAAUACCAACCUCUAAGUCUUCUAUCAGGGCACUCGUCUGGCACUGAGAGGCAUAACUUACUGACACACAGGGACUCAGGAGAUAGGGGUGAGGUCUAAGCUUAACCCGGUAGCAGAGAUGGUACUAGCGACGAGCCAAAUUUUUGCCGUGACACAAACCCCCCAAAAUAGAUGAUGCAUAAACUGAUCACAAAUGCGUUGAUAUAUAUUAUGAAAUGGUUUGCGCGGGUGAUGAUUUUUUCUCAUUUUUCUCGCUUAGAGGGAAGGGCCUU